rnacentral:rRNA from 1 species
CCUACGGGAGGCUGCAGUGAGGAAUAUUGGUCAAUGGGCGCUAGCCUGAACCAGCCAAGUAGCGUGAAGGAUGACUGCCCUAUGGGUUGUAAACUUCUUUUAUAAGGGAAUAAAGUGAAGCACGUGUACCUUUUUGUAUGUACUUUAUGAAUAAGGAUCGGCUAACUCCGUGCCAGCAGCCGCGGUAAUACGGAGGAUCCGAGCGUUAUCCGGAUUUAUUGGGUUUAAAGGGAGCGUAGAUGGGUUGUUAAGUCAGUUGUGAAAGUUUGCGGCUCAACCGUAAAAUUGCAGUUGAUACUGGCAGCCUUGAGUACAGUUGAGGUAGGCGGAAUUCGUGGUGUAGCGGUGAAAUGCUUAGAUAUCACGAAGAACUCCGAUUGCGAAGGCAGCCUACUAAACUGUAACUGACAUUGAUGCUCGAAAGUGUGGGUAUCAAACAGGAUUAGAUACCCCAGUAGUC